rnacentral:rRNA from 1 species
GACGAACGCUGGCGGCGUGCCUAAUACAUGCAAGUAGAACGCUGAAGGAGGAGCUUGCUUCUCUGGAUGAGUUGCGAACGGGUGAGUAACGCGUAGGUAACCUGCCUGGUAGUGGGGGAUAACUAUUGGAAACGAUAGCUAAUACCGCAUAAUAGCAGUUGUUGCAUGAUAACUGUUUGAAAGGUGCAAUUGCACCGCUACCAGAUGGACCUGCGUUGUAUUAGCUAGUUGGUGGGGUAACGGCUCACCAAGGCGACGAUACAUAGCCGACCUGAGAGGGUGAUCGGCCGCACUGGGACUGAGACACGGCCCAGACUCCUACGGGAGGCAGCAGUAGGGAAUCUUCGGCAAUGGACGGAAGUCUGACCGAGCAACGCCGCGUGAGUGAAGAAGGUUUUCGGAUCGUAAAGCUCUGUUGUAAGAGAAGAACGAGUGUGAGAGUGGAAAGUUCACACUGUGACGGUAUCUUACCAGAAAGGGACGGCUAACUACGUG